CACGGUUAACAACUUUAAGGUGUAUUUCAGCGCAAGUUUUUGGCUAACCUAGCAUUUUGUAGUAAAAUCAAGAGCAAGCUGCUGCCGACCAUUUCUAAUUGAGGUGAGCCGGGCUACUGACAGGUUGCAGGAGACAUCGUGUUAUUGGGAGUCUUGCGUUGCCAGCAGACCCAGG